ensembl:lncRNA
AUGUGUGAACUAGAUGCCAUUUCAGAAGAUGAUAAUACAAUGUUGGUCAUCUCAGAUGCUGCAAGUCUUAGUCAUCUUAAAGAAACUUUAAAGGUUUAUCAGAUGCCAGUGAAAAGUGAAGACCUGAAUGCCAGUUUAUCUUUAAAUGCUAUUUGGAACGAGAAGGAAUAUUCUCUGACAAGUUACUUGCAGUGCAGGAGCUGCGUCCUUCAGUCAGUGUGGCCAUGUCCUUUGAUAGGAGCUGAGGUUACUCAUUUCAAUAAUACAGUACAGUCAUGGGUAAGUGAAAUUGGUUUAUUUUGUAUAUUAAAAUGAUUACUGAAUGAUUUUUAUAGUAACUAUUAAAAUACCAUUUCUUUAAAAGUAGAACGAAAAUUUUAUUUUAUCUAUGUGAAUUGUAUGUGAUUCAUCUAAUUUCUGCCACAGAGAUUUGAAACUACAGUUAAGAGCAGAGUUCAGGUCACUUUAAUAUAUUUGUAAUUGUCUAUACCUUAUUUGAUGCAGUGUCUAUAGUGUUACAUCUUAUGAAAAGGGGUAGGAAAAUGGGCAGCAGCUAUCCAUGUCUUCCACAAAAGGAAAAGCAGAACAAAACGUAUUUGCACAAGUGAUAGAAUCAGACUUGAAUUUUCAGACAUGUAGUUUUAUGUUAUUUGUGGCACCAGCAAAAAUGUUAAUCAGACCCUGAUGGAUGAACAAAGACAAGGUCUAAAGGAGUCAACAGGAAGAGAUUUUCUUUUUUAUAGGUAUUGUAUUUCCAACAAUAUUAGCAAACUAAUUCUUUGAAAUCUAGACAAGAAAGUGAUGUGUUCUUUUACUGUACUCUAAUGGCUUAGUUUAAGAUAAAAACAGAGGGUGAGGCUCCAUCCUGAAUGAACUGUGCAGGUAACCUUAGGAUACCUAUCCCUUUCCUGAGUUUAUUCUGUGGAUAUAAAUUUAAUUGAAUUUAAUCAGAGAUUUUUGAGAGUAAAGCUUUGCCAAAAACUGAAUACAAUCCUUACGUUUUGGCCUCUAUGCAUCAUUAUCAACUGUGCAGGCUAUUUGAAAUGCACUAUAUGACACUGUGACGAUGGAAUAGAAUUUAUGAAUCAUUAUAUGCCAUGAAUGUUGGCAUUUCAAACACUAUUAGGAAGAUUUCAUGGUAUUUUAGCAUUCAUUUAAUAUCAAAGAUAAUGAAAUGUUACAUUGAGGGAGUGUAUACUGAAAGAAUAUGAAAUAAUGGGUUCCUCUGAGGUAGAGUGAACUGAUUUCUUGUUUUACCUUUUUAAUAGUCUUUUUCUGUACAUUUAAAACAAGGGGCUCUGUAAGACUGCCAGGGAAUCGGAAGUUUUGUGUUCCUCUUCUUUGUUGUUUCCCAUGACUGGCUGUGCAAACCGCUCACCGUCAGCAGCUUAUUCACAUGAGGUGGGCAACUGAAGAGGGGACUGGCUGCCUCUCAGCCCAGGUGCAUCAAUAUAAAUGUGUAAUCAGCUGGUAUUGGGUUUAAAGUGUUGUGUUUUUAUUAGUGUAAAAGAAACAAGUUUUAUGUUCUUAGCCUACCUGUGGGUUUAAAUUCUUCCUCUGUUCCUUUUAGCUAGCAAGACACUGUUAAUUGCUGCAGGUUUUCUAAGUCUCUUCCUUCCCUAUUCUUUUCUUGUAUUCUAUUUGUAUCCACUAGAAAGAAAUCUCGGUGAACUUGUAGGCCUGGAAGAGCAACAUAGGCUAUAAAAGACCACAUCUGGCUUUGGGGAGUCGUUCUGAGAGCUCGGGGCUUUCAGUAGAGAGACAUCUAAUCUCUUAAUGCAGGCCUUUGUUUCAAAAAGGGGCUUGGGGAAAAAAAAAAUAUCCCGUCAUCUUCAAUAGACCUGUGAAACAAUUGUCAGAACUGCCAUCUCUGCUUUGGAUCCGUUGCAAACUGUGUGCCCUGUGUCUAGAUUAAUAUCCCGGGUGACUUGGGUGGGAGAGGAGGGAGGCUACUAUUUUUUAUUGGGGUUUUUUUUGUGUGUGUUGUGUGAAAAUAAUGUUACUUAUUUAGAAAGGUGGAGAGGACUGGGGAUGAAGAGCAGUGGUAGAGGUAACUACAGCUUUAAUUUUAUCAUCUCCUCGCUUUAAAUCAAAUGCCUGUUGUUUUCUUGUUAUUGGGAAUAUAUGAAUGUAAAUGAAGAUAUAGAAUGAGUGAAAGGAGUUUAAAAUGAUGAUUUAUUAUAUGCUAUCAUAUGCCAGAGCAAAUGCAUAUGCGUUAAAGUGAAGAAGCUGUGAUUAAGUCGGUUUUAGCUCCCAGUUAUAUAUUUCUGAAUACAAGAUCCUGCUGUUAUUGAGCAAUAUAUUUGUAGAGAUAAAAUCAACAUUGUAGUUUAUACUGCUGCCUACCCUGUGUUAAAUCAUGUACAUUGACAUGAGGUAUCAUAUGUCACCUUAAAUUACUUUGUGUCAUGUGCUGUCUAUAAAUCAAGUGCAGUUGGUUCUGGAAGGCAAGGAAUUGUUCAUGUAAUAGAAAUCACAUUGCUAUAGGACAGCAAGCUUAAAAUAGAAUCACUGGAUUUAAUAUCAGUAAUUUACUCCUAGAUUUGGUAAUCAUUUAAAGAGGCAACACUGUAUUUUCAUUACUUAAAUUUUGGGUGCAUUUAACAAAUCAUAUUUUUAUAAUCUUUUUUUAAAACUACUUUUUUAUCAAUUAUACAUUUAUAUUUAAAAUUAGAUUUUUAAAUUUACUGCUACAUUUCUAAAAAUUCGAUUACAUCAUGUGUUUGCCAUUGACCUAGAAACCUCCAUUAACUUUAUGUGAAAUCAGUGGCAUAUAGAUUAAUGUUAUUUUUUUAUAUUCCUUGAAAUACCCUAAAUAAUUGUAUAUUCCUGUUUGCAGUAGACUUCAUGAAAUGGUAACAACUUUGUAGGAGACAGUACUUUGGAACUAACAGAAAAUAUUUUGGUACCAUAAAUGCAGAGGGCUUGGGGUGCUUUAAGAUCUAGCUUAGCUAACGGAAUAAAUUGUCUUUCAUAUGUUAAAAGGUGAAUGAA